rnacentral:rRNA from 1 species
AGAGUUUGAUCAUGGCUCAGGAUGAACGCUAGCUACAGGCUUAACACAUGCAAGUCGAGGGGCAGCAUGGUCUUAGCCUGCUAAGGCCGAUGGCGACCGGCGCACGGGUGAGUAACACGUAUCCAACCUGCCGUCUACUCUUGGACAGCCUUCUGAAAGGAAGAUUAAUACAAGAUGGCAUCAUGAGUCCGCAUGUUCACAUGAUUAAAGGUAUUCCGGUAGACGAUGGGGAUGCGUUCCAUUAGAUAGUAGGCGGGGUAACGGCCCACCUAGUCUUCGAUGGAUAGGGGUUCUGAGAGGAAGGUCCCCCACAUUGGAACCGAGACACGGUCCAAAAUCCUACGGGAGGCAACA